CUUUUCUCACUCAAUGCGUAAUUGUUGCUUAAUUAUGGAGAAGGAAGCACAUGCAUUGUUAAAUGCUAAGGCCAAAAUCUGCUCAUUAAUGAUGUUGUCCAACUGCAUCUGCCGCUGCUCCAUCAAAGGGGUAAUACUAACUGGCUCUGGAAAUCGGCGGAGGAAAAAAGACAGAAGCUUGCCGAAACAAUAUGACAACAAGAUUGUUGAUGAAUUUUUAGAGUGACAGCAAGAUUUUUACUUUCUAGCAAGAGUUGUUUUAUUCUUUUAUCACUACUACUCAAUUGUGGCUUACGGCUGCUGUUGGAGUGUUUGAAGCACGUCGCAUAUCAGAUGCAAUUUGAACUCGGGUAUUGUUAUUUAAACGCAGUUCUUUACAAAUGCAAUUUGUUUGUAUUUGGUGUAGAGCAGUAUGAGCAGGCUAUCAAGUAUG